rnacentral:rRNA from 1 species
UGCAGCGAAGCCGCGUGAGGGAUGACGGCCUUCGGGUUGUAAACCUCUUUCAGCAGGGAAGAAGCGAAAGUGACGGUACCUGCAGAAGAAGCGCCGGCUAACUACGUGCCAGCAGCCGCGGUAAUACGUAGGGCGCAAGCGUUGUCCGGAAUUAUUGGGCGUAAAGAGCUCGUAGGCGGUUUGUCGCGUCUGCUGUGAAAACCUGAGGCUCAACCUCGGGCUUGCAGUGGGUACGGGCAGACUAGAGUGCGGUAGGGGUGACUGGAAUUCCUGGUGUAGCGGUGGAAUGCGCAGAUAUCAGGAGGAACACCGAUGGCGAAGGCAGGUCACUGGGCCGCAACUGACGCUGAGGAGCGAAAGCAUGGGGAGCGAACAGGAUUAGAUACCCUGGUAGUC